rnacentral:rRNA from 14 species
CACCGCCCGUCGCUACUACCGUAUUGAACGGUCGCAUUGAGGUCUUCGGAGUGGACGCGCGUUAUUCGGCCCCCUCGGGGGCUGGGUCGUCGCGCGAUCGCGAAGAUGACCGAAAUCGGCCGUUUAGAGGAAGUAAAAGUCGUAACAAGGUUUCCGUAGGUGAACCUGCGGAAG